ACACACACACACACACACACACACACACACACACACACAAUUUUAUUUCUGUAUCUUUGUUUCAUUGGCCAAACUAUUUAAACUAUAAAGAGUGUGUGUGUGUGUGUGUAUGUGUGUGUGUGU
rnacentral:miRNA from 1 species